GUGCCAUUUCCUCGGAGGAAUGGAUGCCUUUCAGAAGGAAUGGGCAUUCUCGAUGAAGAGAGGAUGCUCUUUCCUUGGUGCUGGUUGUGUUUUUAAGUGCAGCCUGCUGCUCUCAGUUCAGAAAUACACUAUGGUCUGCAACUCCACCAACUUGGGAAGAUGUCUUUGCUGCUUUCCUUAUUUAUGCUCUUUUUCAGGCCGGGUCUCUCAAGAGUUAAAAGUCUUUGCAACUUUGCUUUAUAUAGAAAGUUGAAUGGGAAAAAGGCAAACUAGAGGAUGAUAACUAAGGGGAAUUCAUUCUUUUUCCUUAUUCCUCAAAUUUUUUCAAAGUCCACAGCUCUAACCUCUCUAUCUCUUGAGGGAGCAUAAUUCAACACAUGGGCUGCAUCGUGGGGUUGUGAUUCGCUUAAUCGAACAAGAGAGUUGGAUUGGAUUACAUAAAACAAGAAGAAGCAGGAAAUGACCGCGGAGGAAUUAUAUUCUUUUGCAGAGAGUAAAAAAGUGGGUUUAUGAGAGAUUCCAGAGAAUGAGAAUAUGAGAAUCCAAAACUAAAGAAAAGCUUGGUGAGUCGCAUUCUCAACACUCAAGCAUCUUUAUUGUUCAUCUCAACCCAAAGACUAUUUCGGGUCUAUUUCUUUCCGGUUUUGUUAGUCUCGUUUUUUUAUUAUAUGUGGGAUAUUUUAGUGAAUUGUGAUUCUUAUAAGCAAAGCACAACAAAAGAAAGAUUGUGUGUUUCACCACAAGACAGGUGAUGUCUGCAUCCAACCGAAAGCAAAUGCAGCAGUUUUGUGAAUUUUGAUUUUAAUAUUAGUAUUGAAACAAUUGUAUAUAAAACAAAAUGCGACUGGCUGGCUUAAUUCAACAUCUCGUAUCCAUU